AAAUGAUAUAUUGCUUUUUUAUAUCCCCCACGGGUCCCUUUGACAGUACAAUAUAUUCUCUCUCCCAAAAACAGCCACGCACCCUUAACUAACUAAAAUAGAAUAAAAUUGAUAACAACAAAAUAAUAUUUGAAAACAGAACAAUAUUCGUUAUUAUAAUCUCUCAAGCAUUCUCGAACAUUCCUCAAAUGACAAAGUCUUUAAGCCAUCCUGGUUUCUUUCUCGCGCGAGCUGAACCUGUCUUGAGCUGCUCUCUAGCUUGUGUCUCAUUCAUGGGUUGGACUUCUUCCAUUUCUGCAGGCUGGGUCUCUUCCCUUGCUGUCUCAUUGUGCUCGAUCUGAUUCACAACAAUUGGCCAGGUUGUAUCAUAGGCCCAAAAGGGAAAAAGAAAAAUAAAAUACACAAAAUAUUGGAGAAAGCAAUGGUAUAUUUCAUCUUUACAAACUCAACAAUAUCAUAAAGCCUUAUCGUAUACAUAUAUACACAUAUAUUUUAUUUUAUUUUAUUUAUUUAUCACCACUGCUUACAAAUCAACGAAUGCCUAGUCCACGGCUAGCUCAACAUAACCUUGACUAAAUGCAAAACAACCCCAAUUGUCCAAAGGGCUUUUUUAUAAUUGGCUUUUCGUUUGAAUAAUCUUUGAGUAUCCAAAUUCCAAAGGGUAAGUGGCUCCUAUCGGAAUCGAAAAAAUCACUGAUUCAGUUCGGUGUUUUCAAUUCUGGUUCAGUAUUUUUUUCUCAGGGAAAACCGAAAAAAAUCGGUUCGGAUUUGAACCGAAUAUUUCGACUCAGUUUUCGAUUCUAAAUUUAAAAUCCAAAAACCGAACCCAAAAUCCUGAUAAAAUCAAUUUUAAAAAGAAAAUUCAAAGUUCUCAAAAAUCACCUUCUCUAUGCAAAAGGUCGAUCCACAAGCCCAAUUACUCAUUUGUUCCAUUCCUCCAUACUUCGUACCGAGCAAACAAUGUAAGCGAAUCUUCCUCUAAGCAAAUCUAUUUCAAGUUCCACCGUCAACUACCGAGGCAGCAAAAGAGAAGAAAAAAAGUUUAGCCAGAAUAUAAUGAAGAUGAUGGAGCACACUACCGCACACUACCGGCGCGCGCCUCCGCCAUCGUGUCUACCAUUGUGCUCUCCGUUCACGCGCUGCUUCAUGACUUCAUCAUCCACUUUUCUUCGCCUUUUUUUUUAUCAAUUUUGUAUUGACUUGUUGAACUCUAGUGUUGUGAAAAUUUGUUUUGGUAUUUGAAUCUUUUUUUUUGUUUGGUUAUUUUUGACUUGUUGUAACAAAAAUCAUGAAAGGUUGAUGAAAUCUGAAAGAGAUAAGAUUACUGUAGUGAUUAUUUUAUUUUAUUUUAUUUUUAAUAAGGUUCAGAACCGAAGAUCGAAUAAGAACCGAAUCCGUUGAUUUUGAUUAGGAAUUAUCUUUUAUUCGGUUUUUUGGUUUUUUUUUUUAAAAUAAGCACCGAACCAAUCCACAAGCUUCGGUUCAUACCGACACCGAUCCAAACCG
rnacentral:lncRNA from 1 species